rnacentral:rRNA from 1 species
GAACGCUGGCGGCGUGCCUAAUACAUGCAAGUUGAGCGCUGAAGGUUGGUACUUGUACCGACUGGAUAAGCAGCGAACGGGUGAGUAACGCGUGGGGAAUCUGCCUAUGAGCGGGGGACAACAUUUGGAAACGAAUGCUAAUACCGCAUAAAAACUUUAAACACAAGUUUUAAGUUUGAAAGAUGCAAUUGCAUCACUCAAAGAUGGAUCCCGCGUUGUAUUAGCUAGUUGGUGAGGUAAAGGCUCACCAAGGCGAUGAUACAUAGCCGACCUGAGAGGGUGAUCGGCCACAUUGGGACUGAGACACGGCCCAAACUCCUACGGGAGGCAGCAGUAGGGAAUCUUCGGCAAUGGACGAAACCCUGACCGAGCAACGCCGCGUGAGUGAAGAAGGUUUUCGGAUCGUAAAACUCUGUUGGUAGAGAAGAACGUUGGUGAGAGUGGAAAGCUCAUCAAGUGACGGUAACUACCCAGAAAGGGACGGCUAACUACGUGCCAGCAGCCGCGGUAAUACGUAGGUCCCGAGCGUUGUCCGGAUUUAUUGGGCGUAAAGCGAGCGCAGGUGGUUUAUUAAGUCUGGUGUAAAAGGCAGUGGCUCAACCAUUGUAUGCAUUGGAAACUGGUAGACUUGAGUGCAGAAGAGGAGAGUGGAAUUCCAUGUGUAGCGGUGAAAUGCGUAGAUAUAUGGAGGAACACCGGUGGCGAAAGCGGCUCUCUGGCCUGUAACUGACACUGAGGCUCGAAAGCGUGGGGAGCAAACAGGAUUAGAUACCCUGGUAGUCCACGCCGUAAACGAUGAGUGCUAGAUGUAGGGAGCUAUAAGUUCUCUGUAUCGCAGCUAACGCAAUAAGCACUCCGCCUGGGGAGUACGACCGCAAGGUUGAAACUCAAAGGAAUUGACGGGGGCCCGCACAAGCGGUGGAGCAUGUGGUUUAAUUCGAAGCAACGCGAAGAACCUUACCAGGUCUUGACAUACUCGUGCUAUUCCUAGAGAUAGGAAGUUCCUUCGGGACACGGGAUACAGGUGGUGCAUGGUGGUCGUCAGCUCGUGUCGUGAGAUGUUGGGUUAAGUCCCGCAACGAGCGCAACCCCUAUUGUUAGUUGCCAUCAUUAAGUUGGCCACUCUAACGAGACUGCCGGUGAUAAACCGGAAGAAGGUGGGGAUGACGUCAAAUCAUCAUCCCCCUUAUGACCUGGGCUACACACGUGCUACAAUGGAUGGUACAACGAGUCGCGAGACAGUGAUGUUUAGCUAAUCUCUUAAAACCAUUCUCAGUUCGGAUUGUAAGCUGCAACUCGCCUACAUGAAGUCGGAAUCGCUAGUAAUCGCGGAUCAGCACGCCGCGGUUGAAUACGUUCCCGGCCCUUGUACACACCGCCCGUCACACCACGGGAGAUUGGGAGUACCCGAAGU